rnacentral:rRNA from 1 species
AUUGAACGCUGGCGGCAGGCUUAACACAUGCAAGUCGAGCGAGAGGCGGACGGGUGAGUAAUAUCUGGGAAACUGCCUGAUGGAGGGGGGUAAAUACUGGAAAAGGUGGAUAAAACCGCAUACCAUCAGAGGUGCCCAGAUGGGAUUAGCUAGUAGGUGGGGUAAUGGCUCACCUCGGCGACGAUCCCUAGCUGGUCUGAGAGGAUGACCAGCCACACUGGAACUGAGACACGGUCCAGACUCCUACGGGAGGCAGCAGUGGGGAAUAUUGCACAAUGGGCGCAAGCCUGAUGCAGCCAUGCCGCGUGUGUGAAGAAGGCCUUCGGGUUGUAAAGCACUUUCAGCGGGGAGGCGUUACCCGCAGAAGAAGCACCGGCUAACUCCGUGCCAGCAGCCGCGGUAAUAC